UGAGUACGAGAUGCUACGGCAUCGAAGCAGUCUAUGUCAUACUUCCAAGAAAAGCUUGCACUGUCAUAAACAAAUAAUGCCCGUACCAUAACCGACACAGGUGGGUAGGUAGAGUAUACUAAGGGGCGCGAGAUAACUCUCUCUAAGGAACUCGGCAAAAUGACUCCGUAACUUCGGGAGAAGGAGUGCCUUAUUUAUAAGGUUGCAAUAACAAGAUCCAAGCAACUGUUUAUCAAAAACACAGGUCUCCGCUAAGUCGUAAGACGAUGUAUGGGGGCUGACGCCUGCCCAGUGCCAGAAGGUUAAAGAAGUUGGUUAGCAUUAGCGAAGCUGAUAACUGAAGCCCUGGUGAACGGCGGCCGUAACGAUAACGGUCCUAAGGUAGCGAAAUUCCUUGUCGGGUAAGUUCCGACCCGCACGAAAGGCGUAAUGAUUUGGAUACUGUCUCGGAGAGGGGCUCGGUGAAAUAGACUUGUCUGUGAAGAUGCGGACUACCUGCACCUGGACAGAAAGACCCUAUGAAGCUUUACUGUAACUUGAAAUUGAAAUUGGACUUUAUUUGCGCAGCAUAGGUGGGAGGCGUUGAAAAUAUUCUUGCGGGAAUAUUCUAGCCAUCAGUGAGAUACCACUCUUGUAAUGUUAGAUUUCUAACUUUGUAUCAUUAUCUGGUCAAAGAACAGUUUCAGGCGGGCAGUUUGACUGGGGCGGUCGCCUCCUAAACGGUAACGGAGGCGCACAAAGGUUUCCUCUGAACGGGUAGAAAUCGUAUCUAGAGUGUAAAGGCAUAAGGAAGCUUGACUGUGAGACCUACAAGUCGAGCAGGGACGAAAGUCGGUCUUAGUGAUCUGACGGUGCUGAGUGGAAAGGCCGUCACUCAACGGAUAAAAGUUACUCUAGGAUAACAGGCUGAUCUCCCCCAAGAGUUCACAUCGACGGGGAGGUUUGGCACCUCGAUGUCGGCUCAUCGCAUCCUGGGGCGGUAGUACGUCCCAAGGGUUGGGCUGUUCGCCCAUGAAAGCGGUACGCGAGCUGGGUUCAGAACGUCGUGAGACAGUUCGGUCCAUAUCCGGUGUAGGCGUUAGAAUAUUGAGAGGAGCCUUCUUUAGUACGAGAGGACCGAGAAGGACAUACCUCUGGUGUACCAGUUAUCGUGCCAACGGUAAACGCUGGGUAGCUAUGUAUGGAGAGGAUAACCGCUGAAAGCAUCUAAGUGGGAAGCCCACCUCAAGAUAAGUAUUCUCAUCACUAUAAGUGAGUAAGGUCACGGUAAGACUAACCGUUUGAUAGGCAUUAAGUGUAAAUGUAGUAAUGCAUGUGCUGAGAUGUCCUAACAGACCGAGGAC
rnacentral:rRNA from 1 species